rnacentral:rRNA from 1 species
CUCAACCCCGGACAUGCAGACGAUACUGGCGGACUAGAGAAUGGUAGAGGCAAGCGGAAUUCCUGGUGUAGCGGUGGAAUGCGUAGAUAUCAGGAAGAACACCUGUGGCGAAGGCGGCUUGCUGGGCCAUUUCUGACGCUCAUCCGCGAAAGCGUGGGGAGCAAACAGGAUUAGAUACCCUGGUAGUCCACGCCGUAAACGAUGGGCACUAGAUGCCGGGUCUCUAGACGGAUUCGGUGUCGCAGCUAACGCAUUAAGUGCCCCGCCUGGGGAGUACGGCCGCAAGGCUGAAACUCAAAGGAAUUGACGGGGGCCCGCACAAGCGGUGGGGCAUGUGGUUUAAUUCGAAGCAACGCGAAGAACCUUACCUGGGCUUGACAUCCUAGUGAAAGUCCCUGGAAACAGGGGUGUUCCUUCGGGACAC